rnacentral:rRNA from 1 species
UACGAAGGGUGCAAACGUUGCUCGGAAUUAUUGGGCGUAAAGCGCACGUAGGCGGCUUUGCAAGUCGGAUGUGAAAUCCCUCGGCUUAACCAAGGAAGUGCAUCCGAAACUGCAGAGCUUGAGUACUUAAGAGGAUCGCGGAAUUCCCGGUGUAGAGGUGAAAUUCGUAGAUAUCGGGAGGAAUACCUGUGGCGAAGGCGGCCUACUGGGCCGGACCUGACGCUGAGACGCGAAGGCGUGGGGAGCGAACGGG